GUCCGAAAAAGGCAAACUGUCCGAAAGGGCAGGACGCAAAGGCACCGGCCUAAAUCCUACUUUGUAGGACAUGGUAGCGGGUCUGCCGGA
rnacentral:ncRNA from 1 species